GAUGAACGCUGGCGGCGUGCCUAAUACAUGCAAGUCGAGCGAACAGACGAGGAGCUUGCUCCUCUGACGUUAGCGGCGGACGGGUGAGUAACACGUGGAUAACCUACCUAUAAGACUGGGAUAACUUCGGGAAACCGGAGCUAAUACCGGAUAAUAUAUUGAACCGCAUGGUUCAAUAGUGAAAUACGGUUUUGCUGUCACUUAUAGAUGUAUCCGCGCCGCAUUAGCUAGUUGGUAAGGUAACGGCUUACCAAGGCAACGAUGCGUAGCCGACCUGAGAGGGGGAUCGGCCACACUGGAACUGAGACACGGUCCAGACUCCGACGGGAGGCAGCGGUAGGGAAUCUUCCGAAAUGGGCGAAAGCCUGACGGAGCAACGCCGCGUGAGUGAUGAAGGUCUUCGGAUCGUAAAACUCUGUUAUUAGGGAAGAACAAAUGUGUAAGUAACUAUGCACGUCUUGACGGUACCUAAUCAGAAAGCCACGGCUAACUACGUG
rnacentral:rRNA from 1 species